rnacentral:rRNA from 1 species
GAUGAACGCUGGCGGCGUGCUUAACACAUGCAAGUCGAACGAAGCAUUUCUUUUGGAAGUUUUUAGCUUGCUAAGAGCGGACAUGUGAAAUGACUGAGUGGCGGACGGGUGAGUAACGCGUGAGUAACCUGCCUUAUACAGGGGGAUAACAGUUGGAAACGACUGCUAAUACCGCAUAAGCGCACAGUACCUCCUGGUACAGUGUGAAAAACUCCGGUGGUAUAAGAUGGACUCGCGUCUGAUUAGCUAGAUGGUAAGGUAACGGCUUACCAUGGCGACGAUCAGUAGCCGACCUGAGAGGGUGACCGGCCACAUUGGGACUGAGACACGGCCCAAACUCCUACGGGAGGCAGCAGUGGGGAAUAUUGCACAAUGGGGGAAACCCUGAUGCAGCGACGCCGCGUGAAGGAAGAAGUAUUUCGGUAUGUAAACUUCUAUCAGCAGGGAAGAAAAUGACGGUACCUGACUAAGAAGCCCCGGCUAAUUACGUGCCAGCCGCCGCGGUAACAC